UACGUAGGGUGCGAGCGUUAAUCGGAAUUACUGGGCGUAAAGCGUGCGCAGGCGGUUUUGUAAGGCAGAUGUGAAAUCCCCGGGCUUAACCUGGGAAUGGCAUUUGGGACUGCAAGGCUCGAGUGCGGCAGAGGAGACUGGAAUUCCCGGUGUAGCGGUGAAAUGCGUAGAUAUCGGGAGGAAUACCUAUGGCGAAGGCAGGUUACUGGGCCAUCACUGACGCUGAGCUGCGAAAGCCAGGGGAGCAAACGGG
rnacentral:rRNA from 1 species